GAGACAGAGUCUUGCUCUGUUGCCCAGGCUGGAGUGCAGUGGCACAAUCUCAGCUCACUGGAAGCUCUGCCUCCCAGUUUCACGCCAUUUUCCUGCCUCAGCCUCCCAAGUAGCUGGGACCACAGGCACCUGCCACCACGCCCGGCCAAUUUUUUGUAUUUUUAGUAGAGACGGGGUUUCACCAUGUUAGCCAGGAUGGUCUCGAUCUCCUGACCUCGUGAUCCGCCCGCCUCAGCCUCCCAAAGUGUAAUUUUUAUAUUUUUAGUAGAGUCGGGGUUUCACCAUGUUGGCCAGGCUAGUCUCAAAGUCCUGACCUCAAGUGAUUCACCUGCCUAGGCCUCUCAAUGUGCUGGGAUUAUAGGCAACUGCGCCAGGCCAGCUUCCUUACUUGUAACAUUGGAUAAAAUGUCUUGAUAUCUGUCUGGUAGAAAUACUUCAGAAGCAAUGAUCUGGUUGGUGGCCAAGGGUGGGGACACAGAUGAAGCAUGACUGGCCACACAUCAUUAACCUUUGCCAACCUGGGCGACAGAGGAGACGAUCUCCAAAACAAAACAAAGAAAUGCUGGUUCGGGAGGCACACAGCCCUAGACUUUUGGGCUAUAUCCUUGGCAGUGACUGUUGAUCAGCUUCUGGUUGUUUCAAGGACACCUGUAAGACUGGAGACCCAGUUGAGCCAAGAGUGGGGCACAUCAGGAAGACUAGGGGAUGGAAAAGCACUGGUCCCCCUGGGCUGCUGGCUCUCUUCUUGCUCUGGAGUCCAAAUGCAGAGGUUGGGAGCAGGAAGUAGUCAGGCAAGGAAUGUGCAGCUGCUACCAGAGAGAAGCGUUGCUCACUUUGCCAUUUUGCCAAAAUACAGCCAUUCACUGUGAUAGCUUAAGAGUAGGUCUU
rnacentral:lncRNA from 10 species